GAUGAACGCUGGCGGCGUGCCUAAUACAUGCAAGUCGAGCGAACAGAUAAGGAGCUUGCUCCUUUGACGUUAGCGGCGGACGGGUGAGUAACACGUGGAUAACCUACCUAUAAGACUGGGAUAACUUCGGGAAACCGGAGCUAAUACCGGAUAACAUAUUGAACCGCAUGGUUCAAUAGUGAAAGGCGGCUUUGCUGUCACUUAUAGAUGGAUCCGCGCCGUAUUAGCUAGUUGGUAAGGUAACGGCUUACCAAGGCAACGAUACGUAGCCGACCUGAGAGGGUGAUCGGCCACACUGGGACUGAGACACGGUCCAGACUCCUACGGGAGGCAGCAGUAGGGAAUCUUCCGCAAUGGGCGAAAGCCUGACGGAGCAACGCCGCGUGAGUGAUGAAGGUCUUCGGAUCGUAAAACUCUGUUAUCAGGGAAGAACAAAUGUGUAAGUAACUGUGCACAUCUUGACGGUACCUGAUCAGAAAGCCACGGCUAACUACGU
rnacentral:rRNA from 1 species